GACGAACGCUGGCGGCGUGCUUAACACAUGCAAGUCGAACGAUGAACCCGGAGCUUGCUCCGGCGGAUUAGUGGCGAACGGGUGAGUAACACGUGAGUAACCUGCCCUUGACUCUGGGAUAACUGCUAGAAAUGGUAGCUAAUACCGGAUACGACCCUCGGUGGCAUCACCAGGGGGUGGAAAGAAUUUCGGUCAAGGAUGGACUCGCGGCCCAUCAGCUAGUUGGGGAGGUAACGGCUCACCAAGGCGACGACGGGUAGCCGGCCUGAGAGGGUGACCGGCCACCCUGGGACUGAGACACGGCCCAGACUCCUACGGGGGGCAGCAGUGGGGAAUAUUGCACAAUGGGCGCAAGCCUGAUGCAGCAACGCCGCGUGAGGGAUGACGGCCUUCGGGUUGUAAACCUCUUUUAGUAGGGAAGAAGCGAAAGUGACGGUACCUGCAGAAAAAGCACCGGCUAACUACGUGCCAGCCGCCGCGGUAA
rnacentral:rRNA from 1 species